UACGUAGGGGGCUAGCGUUGUCCGGAAUCAUUGGGCGUAAAGAGCGUGUAGGCGGUCCGGUAAGUCCGCUGUGAAAGUCGGGGGCUCAACCCUCGAAUGCCGGUGGAUACUGUCGGGCUAGAGUGCGGAAGAGGCGAGUGGAAUUCCUGGUGUAGCGGUGAAAUGCGCAGAUAUCAGGAAGAACACCCGUGGCGAAAGCGGCUCUCUGGAACGGUACUGACGCUGAGGAGCGAAAGCGUGGGGAGCGAACAGG
rnacentral:rRNA from 1 species